GACGAACGCUGGCGGCGUGCUUAACACAUGCAAGUCGAACGGAAAGUCCCUGCUUUUGUGGGGUUCUCGAGUGGCGAACGGGUGAGUAACACGUGAGUAACCUGCCCUCGACGUUGGGAUAACUUCAGGAAACUGGGGCUAAUACCGGAUAGGAGCUCCUGCUGCAUGGUGGUGGUUGGAAAGUUGGGGCGGUUGGGGAUGGACUCGCGGCUUAUCAGCUUGUUGGUGGGGUAGUGGCUUACCAAGGCUUUGACGGGUAGCCGGCCUGAGAGGGUGACCGGCGACAUUGGGACUGCGAUACGGACCAGACUCCUACGGGAGGCAGCAGUGGGGAAUCUUGCACAAUGGGCGGAAGCCUGAUGAAGCAACGCCGCGUGCGGGAUGACGGCCUUCGGGUUGUAAACCGCUUUCGCCUGUGACGAAGCGUGAGUGACGGUAAUGAGUAAAGAAGCACCGGCUAACUACGUG
rnacentral:rRNA from 1 species